AGUGAACGCUGGCGGUAGGCCUAACACAUGCAAGUCGAACGGCAGCACAGUAAGAGCUUGCUCUUACGGGUGGCGAGUGGCGGACGGGUGAGGAAUACAUCGGAAUCUACUUUUUCGUGGGGGCUAACGUAGGGAAACUUACGCUAAUACCGCAUACGACCUACGGGUGAAAGCAGGGGAUCUUCGGACCUUGCGCGAUUGAAUGAGCCGAUGUCGGAUUAGCUAGUUGGCGGGGUAAAGGGCCACCAAGGCGACGAUCCGUAGCUGGUCUGAGAGGAUGAUCAGCCACACUGGAACGUAGACACGGUCCAGACGCCUACGGGAGGCAGCAGUGGGGAAUGUUGGACAAUGGGCGCAAGCCUGAUCCAGCCAUACCGCGUGGGUGAAGAAGGCCUUCGGGUUGUAAAGCCCGUUUGUGGGGAAAGAAAAGCAGCAGGUUAAUACCCCGCUGUUCUGACGGUACCCAAAGAAUAAGCACCGGCUAACUUCGUG
rnacentral:rRNA from 1 species